rnacentral:rRNA from 1 species
UACAGAGGGGGCAAGCGUUGUUCGGAAUUACUGGGCGUAAAGGGCGCGUAGGCGGCCUUCUAAGUCGAACGUGAAAUCCCCGGGCUCAACCCGGGAACUGCGUCCGAUACUGGAAGGCUUGAAUCCGGGAGAGGGAUGCGGAAUUCCAGGUGUAGCGGUGAAGUGCGUAGAUAUCUGGAGGAACACCGGUGGCGAAGGCGGCAUCCUGGACCGGUAUUGACGCUGAGGCGCGAAAGCCAGGGGAGCAAACGGG